rnacentral:lncRNA from 1 species
UGAGUAACCGCCUCAGGGCAGCGCCGGGCCCCGAAGGAAAAUCCCUACAGCCCACGAGGAGUCCGCCGAGCCGCCAGGCCUCUCUGCUAUUGUUUUAUUCUCCAAGAGUUUUGAGCUUUAUGCAGUAACGGAAUAAAGCACAGGGAGGAAAGUACUGCAGCGUCUCCUCAGAAACGGCAGGGACUCGUUGGAUUACAGGCAGCCAGUGCGCCGGCAGCCACUGUGGUGUGCGGCUGCGGCCUGCAGGCAGGCCAGGUACGCGGCAGGCAUUGCACUGCACCGGGGGCACCACGUCAGGAUGGACGGCCAAUGGAGGGCUGUGCAUUGCCAGGCACCCCGCGCAUCACUGCGGGUGGGGAGCAGCCUUCUGGAAGGGAAGACGGAGCUCUGAGGGCCGUGGAGCUGGACAGGAUAUCCAGCAGGUGUCAGACAGCAAGGGAUGCUGAGGAACCUGGAGCCAGGAGCAGCACCGUCGGUUCAUAACCUUCACAGCACGAGUAAAACCUGGGAGUGCACAAGGAGGCUGCGUUGGUGAGCAGCUGAGACCAGUGACAUAGCUUGGGCAGCUCCUCUGUUGGUGCCGGCACUGGGGAGCUGGCUUUGGGACUUCUCAAGGCAUCACUUUUGCUCAGCAGUGUGGGUAACAGCUCACAUAAAUCCAAACAUAAAGUCUGCCCACGUACUCUCAGCACCAGGCUCGGGGGGACGCUCCAUGGAGCAGUUUCCCAAGCAGGCUCGGGGAUGAAUGUGCUGCUCAUCCACCUGGAGCCCAAGCUCCUGCCUGACACCCACCCUGUGAGCCCCACUGCUGCCGUGGCAAGGUGAAACACUGCGGGACUUCUCUACAUGGGGCGGGGACAUUUUGCUGUGGGGCCCUCACUCACCUCCCCUGAGCUGAGGGCAUGCUCGUGGUGCAAGCGUGGGCACUAUGCCAAACAUUACAGCAUCCCCAAAUGAAGCCCAUGGAAAACCACAGGCCACUGAUGCAGUGGGCAGCCCCCAGCCAGCCCCUGCACCUUCUCCCCAUACAGCAGGGAGCUGUGUCUCAUUGAAAUGCCCAGCAUGGAGCAUUGUGGGGAUGUUUCUGCUCUCCCCAUGCCCUUUGCUCUGCAGCUGUCACCAGGUCCUUGGCUCUUCCCUCACUUGUUGCAGAUUUGGGCAUUAACUAUGGCACUUGGGCUCUCUUAGCUCGAGUUUGGAAGGUUUGAUGUCUCCACUGUCGUGGGUGGUACCUGAGCUCAGCCUGCUCUGUGCAGCCUCUCAGCACGAUGUGCCACUGAAGAAGGCACUCCUUUCUCAAAGGACCUUCAAGGAGUGUCCCCAGCAGACCUCAGAUACGUCCCACAGAUGUUGCAGUUGCUCCUUUCUAUACAGCAACCCUUACCCAAUGUUAUGUCUGUCUGUCUGACCCG